UUAUAUCGAGGAAGUUUUCGGAUGGAAUCAGUAUAACUUAGUGGCGGACGGGUGAGUAACGCGUGGGAAACCUGCCCUGUACCGGGGGAUAACACUUAGAAAUAGGUGCUAAUACCGCAUAAGCGCACAGUACCGCAUGGUACAGUGUGAAAAACUCCGGUGGUGUGAGAUGGAUCCGCGUCUGAUUAGCCAGUUGGCGGGGUAACGGCCCACCAAAGCGACGAUCAGUAGCCGGACUGAGAGGUUGAACGGCCACAUUGGUACUGAGACACGGACCAAACUCC
rnacentral:rRNA from 1 species